rnacentral:rRNA from 1 species
AUUGAACGCUGGCGGCAGGCCUAACACAUGCAAGUCGAGCGGAGCGGCGGACGGGUGAGUAAUGCCUAGGAAUCUGCCUGGUAGUGGGGGAUAACGUCCGGAAACGGGCGCUAAUACCGCAUACUAUCAGAUGAGCCUAGGUCGGAUUAGCUAGUUGGUGGGGUAAAGGCGUACCAAGGCGACGAUCCGUAACUGGUCUGAGAGGAUUAUCAGUCACACUGGAAGUGAGACACGGUCCAGACUCCUAGGAGAGGCAGCAGGGGGGAAUAUUGGACAAUGGGCGAAAGCCUGAUCCAGCCAUGCCGUGUGUGUGAAGAAGGUCUUCGGAUUGUAAAGCACUUUAAGUUGGGAGGCGUUACAAACAGAAUAAGCACCGGCUAACUUCGUGCCAGCAGCCGCGGUUUC